CCCCAGGAUAGUUCAGUCAGUAGAGCGUGAGACUUUCAAUCUCAAGGUCAUGGGUUCAAGCCCCACACUGGGCA